rnacentral:lncRNA from 1 species
UUCCCUAUAUCCCAGAAGCUUGUUCUCGCCUUCAGGCGAAGUCUCCUGGCAAUAAAACCAAGACUCUCCCCAGCCUUUGGGAUGGCUUGGCAUGGCGAGUGACGGGAAAGAGCUAUCCCUGCGGUGCUGAACGUUGACACCACCAAGCUCCAGGCUGGGGCCAUUGUGAAAUUCUGUUUGGCGAUUCAAGUGGAAGAAGUACCAGAAUAAGGGAACUGAGGUUUCCAUCCGCAAGUAAGCCUCACAAACAC